UACGGAGGGGGCUAGCGUUGUUCGGAAUUACUGGGCGUAAAGCGAGUGUAGGCGGUUUGGUAAGUCGGAUGUGAAAGCCCCGGGCUCAACCCGGGAAGUGCACUCGAUACUGCCAAGCUAGAGUAUCGGAGAGGUUGGUGGAAUUCUCGGUGUAGAGGUGAAAUUCGUAGAUAUCGAGAGGAACACCGGUGGCGAAGGCGGCCAACUGGACGAAUACUGACGCUGAGACUCGAAAGCGUGGGGAGCAAACAGG
rnacentral:rRNA from 1 species